GCAGAGUAAGUGCCUACGCGUUAAGUGCCGGAUGUACGGGGAGUUGACAUCUGGACGAAAGCCUUCGGGCUGCGGUGCAGGCAUUGCAUCCCGCUGC
rnacentral:ncRNA from 1 species